rnacentral:rRNA from 1 species
UACGUAGGGUGCAAGCGUUGUCCGGAAUUAUUGGGCGUAAAAAGCUCGUAGGCGGUCUGUCGCGUCGGCUGUGAAAUCCCGAGGCUCAACCUCGGGUCUGCAGUCGAUACGGGCAAACUAGAGUAUUGCAGGGGAGACUGGAAUUCCUGGUGUAGCGGUGAAAUGCGCAGAUAUCAGGAGGGACACCAACGGCGAAGGCAGCACUCUGGGCCGGUACUGACGCUGAGGAGCGAAAGCGUGGGGAGCAAACAGG